ensembl:snoRNA
AAGUGAAAUGAUGGCAAUCAUUGUUCAAGACUGACCUAAAAUGUAUACUCAUAACUGAUCACUU